CAUGUUUGAAGGAAAGUGCUGUAUUUUCUGAACAUCAGUCAGGAGGAUUUCGUUUCAGGACUACCAGCCCAGGGGUGAUGUCAGCGAGACCUGGUGGUGCCUGGUACACCACAGGAAGCAGAGAAAGGGGAUUGCAAGUGCUCAGUGUGGCCUUGAAAUGGGUGUGUCACUGUGGAUAUGG